CGUUGACAGAAUGCAGGCGGGAAGCUUCAGUUUGGGUAGAGAUGUAGCAUCAAACAUUCACGGAUGUCCAGGGAGCACGGGCACACAGGCUGCUGGCCAGAGGUACUAGGAAGGUACAGGCGGGAGUUCGACGAGGACGCACCUUCCCCUGUCUUGGAAAGGAGGCUGCUCACAGCGCUGCUGGACUCUUUAAGCCCUGAGGUCAUGUGAAAAGAAGUUUGCCCUGUGUCCUUCUGUCUCCUGUUGGCUGUCCACAAAAUGGAGAAGGCGGAAGCAACCUGAGGCGUCCUCUUUGUCUGUAAAGAUAGAGAGUCCAUUGUGGAAGGGGGAGAUACAGGAACUAUAUAGGCGAGGCUCUACCGGACUGCAUCUCUUAUCUCCAGAAUUCUUUUACAGAAAAGAAAAAAAUAAACUUUUAUCUGGCUUAAGCCACUACUGUUUCUGGGCUCUGUUACUAGCUGCCAAAUGCAAAUCUUAACUGAUAGAAAAGUCCUUGACGGAGUUUGAGCUGGUGAAUGGAUGCUGCCUGUUCAGUGGCUCUGCAGUGGUGGAUCUGUGGGAGUGGAGCAUCCUGGAGGGUACCAGGAGAUAAAGAUGGCUUGGCAGAUGGGGGCAGACAGUGAGAAUACACCUCACAAGGUGUCACGGACUUUCUUUUCCCCCAGGACACCUCUGCUGAAGUACUGUUAUACAGUGGCUCUUUAAACGUCUAUUGAUGGAGUAAUUUGAAGUCCGCUCCUGUCAGCUGGCCUCAAAGCUGGGCUAUUUAGAAGAUGCGUACUCUUUGUGCCUAAAAAAAAGAGCAGCAGGUAAAGAAUGGAGCGGGAAGGGGUAUCAGCAUUACAGGAAAGUCAAGUGACUCCCUGCAGGCGUCUCCAAGGAAAGGACUUUGUUACACGUGAUUGUCUAAUGAAAAUACAUCAAAGUCUAAUGAAGAUAUCCUUUACUGAGUAGCAACUGUAAAUAAUGUCCCAGAUGUACAUCCUUCUGUAGCUUAUAGCAUGAAUUCAUAUACUACCUAUUUCUAAUUUAUUAUUUUCAUAAUAACUUCAUCAUCGUAAGAUUAGGCAAGACUGUUCCAUUUUACGUUAGAAGGACAUUUACUGUUUAUAUGGAUUAUAAAAAUAUGAACAGACUCCGGUUCUAGCUCAUUCUGUAAUCCAAGUACUUGUGAGCCAGAGGCAGAAAGACAGUUGUGAGUUUAAGGUCAGGUGACUGUGGGUGACAUAGUCCAGGGACCAGGGGGCUGCAGGGUUAGACUUUCCUCUCAAAAAAAAAACAAAAAACAAAAAAAACCAAAAACCAUAAAAAAGUUCAGUUACACAGCACAACUACUAAAGCAACAUAAAAGAGAGUAGCUUGGCCCCAUGUAACGAAGGAUUUUACCAUCUUUUUCUAUUGUGUAAGAAACUGUAAGUCCAGAGCCAGGGAGACAGCUCAUCAGGCAAAACUGCUUGCCACAAACCUGACAGCCUGGGUGUGAUCCCUGGAACUGACCCCUGAGAAGGGUCCUCUGCCUUCCUCACUUGUACCUUGGCACCCACAUGCCUGCACUCAUUCUCACAUCACACAUCACACACACACACACACACACACACACACCAAUAAAUAAUAAUAGUAAAUUCAAUCUUAAUUCCAGAGCAUAGAUCUCUUGUGAACUAAAUGUAUUAACUUACUAUUUCCUUCCUUCCUUCCUUCCUUCCUUCCUUCCUUCCUUCCUUCCUUCCUUCCUUCCUUUUUUUUGUUUUUUCGAG
rnacentral:lncRNA from 1 species